rnacentral:rRNA from 1 species
UUCGAUUAAGCCAUGCGAGUCGAGAGUCUUAGGGACUCGGCGUACCGCUCAGUAACACGUGGGUAACCUGCCCUAUGCUGGGGAAUAACCUCGGGAAACUGAGAAUAAUGCCCCAUAGUCCACUACGCCUGGAACGGUGAGUGGAUGAAAGCUCCGGCGGCAUAGGAUGGGCCUGCGCCGUAUCAGGUUGUAGGGGGUGUAAAGUACCCUCUAGCCAUCAACGCGUACGGGUGUUGGGAGACAUUGCCCGGAGAUGGAUUCUGAGACACGAAUCCAGACCCUACGGGGUGCAGCAGGCGCGAAAACUUGGCAAUGCGAGCAAUCGUGACCAGGGAACUCCAAGUGCUUGGGGUAAGACCCAAGCUUUUCUUGACUCUUCAAAGGUCUUGGAAUAAGGGGUGGGUAAGGACGGUGCCAGCCGCCGCGGUAAUACCGGCGCCUCAAGUGGUAGUCGCUUUUAUUGGGCCUAAAACGUCCGUAGCCGGUCUGGUGCAUUCGUGGGUAAAUCAACCCGCUCAACGGGUUGAAUUCUGCGAGCACGGCCAGACUUGGGACCGGGAGAGGUGUGGGGUACUCUCGGGGUAGGGGUAAAAUCCUGUCAUCCCGAGAGGACCACCUGUUGCGAAGGCGCCACACUAGAACGGAUCCGACGGUCAGGGACGAAACCUAGGGGCACGAACCGGAUUAGAUACCCGGGUAGUCCUAGGUGUAAACGCUGUGGACUUGAUGUUGGGGGCGCUCCGAGCGCUUUCAGUGUCGAAGCGAAGGUGAUAAGUCCACUGCCUGGGGAGUACGGUCGCAAGGCUGAAACUUAAAGGAAUUGGCGGGGGAGCACUGCAACCUGAGGAUUGUGCG